ACUUGGGUAAGAUUUUCUAUCCUUGUCCAAAAUAAUCGCAUUAUAAUCAGCAGGUUUUGUUUCUCUUUUGCUUUAAAGCAAGAGUUCUUUCUAAUUAACCGUGCCAACAUCCCUACCUUCUCUCGUCUGUUUUUUUUUUUUUUUUUUUUGAGUUGGAAAGGCCUGAAGUCAACUUUCAUUCACCUAUAAAAUCUUGGUUAACAGUAGUCUCACCAGGAGACAAAUCAGACUUGAGCAAAAGAGAGAUACAAGAGGGAAUGUCACCCACCUAAAAGCAAUGACCAUUGACACCAAUUUUAACAAGUUUAUGAAUAACACGGUUGAAUUUCCUCUUAACAUGAUAAACCAAGACUGAAUCAAAGCAGAGGAGAAGCCGGCCACCUGCAGUAUAUGCGUGUAUGGACCACGAUUGAAUCGAGGUUCAUGAACACAAUUUCUAAUCUUUAAGAAGAACUAGAACGAGAAAGAAUUGUCCUAUCCAAUGCAUUAGAAGAAGCACGUAAGGACCGAACAAAAUCAGCCGAGGAAAUGGGAAAAAUUGUCCAGGAGUUAAGGGACCUCAAGCGUCAGAAUGAAGAUCUUCAAAACAAAUUACUUCAAAAAUCGGAACCCUCACUUGGGGAGAAAAUAAUCAAUUUUGCAGUGCCAGCAUUGAUACCGUCACUUGGAGGUCGACUAUUUGGCGCAGCGCUUCGCAUGUUUAAAUAAUUUGUGCAAGAUGCCAAUUGGGAAUUUACAUUUGCGCCCUACAGCACAUCCCAACUGUGUAUUGUGAACAUCUCCCAAUCACAAUUUUCACAGAUAUUACCAAUGCAAGCUGAGAUGUGCAUGUGGGGCGUAGAUGUGAACUCGCCAACCAGUUGGUUGAUAAAGUCUCCUACUCGUUGUAGCGGAGACUUAAUAUCGAAUCCCACCUAACUACACCUGGUUGGGGGGGUUAUGGGUUUGGGGGAUGGGCUACCCCCCCUAUUGUGUAGGCCCUUGGAGCAAAAUAAGAAGUUUAAAUAAUUGCAGUAAUAAUGAAAUAUAUAUUAGUGAAA